AAGAUCCUGUCAAAUGCCCUGGAGUGGGGUGUGAAAAUCCUAUAUGUAGAUGAUUUAAUAGCAUAUGUUCAUAAGAAAAAAAAGAUCAUCAAAAGCUCAGUUCCUGCAGCCACUGCGGCCAAAUUAUGUGACAAAGCUGAUUCUGCAGCAAAGCAAGGCCUAGAGAAAUGCAAAGGCGGGCAGAUUGGUAAACCUUUCAUCAAGGUUGAGGAUUCAAGUAGGCACUACCGUCCAAUCUAC